GACGAACGCUGGCGGCGUGCCUAAUACAUGCAAGUAGAACGCACAGUUUAUACCGUAGCUUGCUACACCAUAGACUGUGAGUUGCGAACGGGUGAGUAACGCGUAGGUAACCUGCCUGGUAGCGGGGGAUAACUAUUGGAAACGAUAGCUAAUACCGCAUAAUAUUGAUUAUUGCAUGAUAAUUGAUUGAAAGAUGCUAUUGCAUCACUACCAGAUGGACCUGCGUUGUAUUAGCUAGUAGGUGAGGUAACGGCUCACCUAGGCGACGAUACAUAGCCGACCUGAGAGGGUGAUCGGCCACACUGGGACUGAGACACGGCCCAGACUACUACGGGAGGCAGCAGUAGGGAAUCUUCGGCAAUGGACGAAAGUCUGACCGAGCAACGCCGCGUGAGUGAAGAAGGUUUUCGGAUCGUAAAGCUCUGUUGUAAGAGAAGAACGGGUGUGAGAGUGGAAAGUUCACACUGUGACGGUAGCUUACCAGAAAGGGACGGCUAACUACGUG
rnacentral:rRNA from 1 species